UCUGAGCACCAGAAUUGCAAA
rnacentral:piRNA from 1 species